AAUAAUAAUUUGGUGUGAAUAUUUUUUAGUAACCCGGGGAAAAUAGAGUCGUUAAAAUUUCAGUGAUUAUGUUCCUGCGGUCGCCCAAACACUAUCAAUUUGACGUUUACAUCAUUGGAAAAAAUCCAGCAGUUACUCGAAGACUUCCAUUGCAAAAGGUCGUGUAUUUUGUCAGACCGCGCCGUUUCUAACAUAACAUAAAUAAAAGUCGUUCCGUUUUUUGCGUGUACACAUAAAAUGCACGUUGAAAAUGUGAAAAAGUGCACCUGAAAACGAGGCCAGUGACCAGAAUAAUUUUCAGUUUCGGGCAGUUUUCAAUCUGAAGAUAUUUAUUAUAUUUUAAUUAAGAUAGAAUAUGGGACGAUUCAGCGGCAAAAAAUGCCGCCUCCUCUCGAUGCUGUGGCUGACGACGGCGUUCUUCUUCGUCGAGAUUAUCGUCGGAUACAUUACCAAUUCGAUGGCCCUUGUGGCGGACAGUUUUCACAUGUUAAGUGACGUGGCGGCACUUUGUAUAGCGUUCAUAUCUGUCAAGAUGUCGCCGAAGAAAUGGUCGAAGAACACAUUCGGAUGGGCGAGGGCCGAGGUGCUGGGCGCACUGGUCAACGCCGUCUUCCUUGUCGCCCUGUGUUUCUCCAUAACUGUGGAGGCGUGCAAACGGUUCAUCGAGGUCGAACGCAUUCACGAUCCGAAAUUGCUGGUCGCCGUCGGUGUCGCCGGACUUGUCGUCAAUCUAGUCGGGCUGGCCCUUUUCCAUGAGCACGGAAGUUCGCACGGUCAUUCGCACGGUCGCCUAUCGCAUUCGAGAAAUCGACUUACGCAACUCGCGGUGACCGACGACAACGAGAACGACGAGACGUUCCAGUCGCCGCCCCAGCCAGACCCAGCGGCCGACAUGGCCCAGAGGCUGGCGUCGCCGCAUGGCCACUCGCACUCGGCCACACAGAUGAACAUGCGUGGUGUCUUUCUGCACGUGCUCAGCGACGCACUCGGCAGCGUCAUCGUCGUCAUAUCCGCAUUGAUCUUCUGGCUGACGGAGUGGACGUACAAGUUCUACAUAGACCCGGCACUCAGUAUCUUACUGGUGCUCCUCAUCCUCCACUCAGUGUGGCCGCUGCUCAGGGACUCGGCACUGAUUUUGUUGCAGACGGUACCGACGCACAUUCAAGUGGACGCCAUCCAACGUAAAUUGCUGUCCAAAGUGGACGGCGUCUUGGCCGUACACGAGUUCCACGUCUGGCAAUUGGCCGGCGACAGGAUCAUCGCCUCCGCUCACAUUCGUUGUCGCAAUCUCUCCGAGUACAUGAUGAUCGCGGAAAAGGUAAAGGAGUUCUUCCACAAUGAGGGCAUCCACUCGACCACCAUCCAGCCGGAGUUCAUCGAUUACACUGACAUUCCGACCAGCUCGCUGGGCGGACAGCCAAACGUGACCGAGGACUGCGUGCUGGACUGUCCGAAGACGAACGAAAUGGACAACUGCCUCAAGAACACUUGCUGCGGACCUUCCAAACAGGAUUCGUUCGAAUAUUCUUUUAACGUGAAAAAUAUGUUCAAAGUAUUCAAAAAAGCUAAGCCGAAAACUGAGGAGUUGGUGGAGAUUUGUCAUACAUUUUCUAAGAGCAAUGUAUAAGUAGCAGUGUUAGAAGAAAUGGAAGAUUACGUUUUUUCUGAAGACUGCUAAAAUAAACAAUUUCACGGAAAAGAUGGAUCUAGUCCAAAUAAUACCCCUUUGUGUAGACAAAGAUCAUCCGUAGCUUCAAUCCCAAACUAUAGUACAGAAGCUGCCGUCAAUGAAAUGGAAAAAGGAGUACUCCUUGAGAAAUCCAACAAUUUUUAAAAUAAAAAACUGUGAUUCUAGUUAAGGGUGUAAUUUUAAAUUAAUGACUAAUUAAAGUAUAUAAGUAUUAAAUUAUAUAAGUUA